GCAUUGGUCUUAAAAUCAAAUGUUAGGAAAUAUGAUGACGAUACUUGCCACUUGCACGUUUUUCAUCCUUUAUGGUUUUAUUCAUGCGGGGCCAACUUGCAUGCAUUGUAACGGAGCCGGAGACAUUGAAAAUUGUUUUUUAAAUACUGUCAGAUGCGGGGACCUUGAGGACUGUUAUUUAGACAAAUAUGUGGAUGAAAACUCGGCGAUCAGAUACGAUGCAGGGUGUCGUUCGAAACAGGUUUGUA